UCUGCCCCAGGAGCAUUGCAGGAGUGGCUGCUGUGUCACAUGUGCGUCAGUAGGUGGCAGAGAGGAGAGAGGUUAUGCCUACACUCAGUGUUCCGAACUGUGAACAUCUGAAUGAUUAACAUCCCCAGAAA